GGCACCCUACGGGGCGCAGCAGUGGGGAAUAUUGCGCAAUGGGGGAGAGGCUGAACCAGCCAAGUCGCGUGAGGGAUGACGGCCCUACGGGUUGUAAACCUCUUUUGUCGGGGAGCAAGACCCGCCUCGUGCAGGCGGAGCGAGAGUACCCGAAGAAAAAGCAUCGGCUAACUCCGUGCCAGCAGCCGCGGUAAUACGGAGGAUGCGAGCGUUAUCCGGAUUUAUUGGGUUUAAAGGGUGCGCAGGCGGACCAUCAAGUCAGCGGUAAAAUCGUGGGGCCCAACCCCAUCCCGCCGUUGAAACUG
rnacentral:rRNA from 1 species